AUUACCGCGGCUGCUGGCACGUAGUUAGCCGGUGCUUCUUCUUCCGGUACCGUCAUCCAUACAGGGUAUUAGCCCGCACGAUUUCUUUCCGGCUGAAAGAGCUUUACAACCCGAAGGCCUUCUUCACUCACGCGGCAUGGCUGGAUCAGGGUUGCCCCCAUUGUCCAAAAUUCCCCACUGCUGCCUCCCGUAGG
rnacentral:rRNA from 1 species